GAUGAAGAACGUAGCGAAAUGCGAUAAGUAAUGUGAAUUGCAGAAUUCAGUGAAUCAUCGAAUCUUUGAACGCACAUUGCGCCCCCUGGAAUUCCGGGGGGCAUGCCUGUUCGAGCGUCUCAGGGACGAACCCUCGCGCGGGUGUACGCGCGGUCGUGGCUGCGGUGGCGUGCCCGAGGCGGCGGCCACCGCGCUGGAAUCCAUGGGCGGACGCCUGCCGCGUGGCCGAGCGUGAUAUGACGCAUUGGCGCUCGCACGCGGCGAGGCUGCCAGCCCUGGCCCGUCUGUCGGGCGGGGGAGAGAAAGACACGUGAACUCCUCGAAUCAGGUAGGGAUACCCGCUGAACUUAAGCAUAUCAAUAAGCGGAGGA
rnacentral:misc_RNA from 1 species